rnacentral:snRNA from 1 species
AUAUUUUUGAUGUACUGUAACUAGCAUAAUAAAAAAGUCUGUUCUUAUCAGCUUAAUAUCUGAUACGGGUUCUAUAUGGACCCAUGAUAUUAAACCUAUUUUUGGAAGUUGGCGGAGUGCUUGAAGCCUGCUUCACCUCCACCACAGGUCGGCCCGGUAUUGCACUACCUCCGGGAUCGGACCCCGCUCA